CUCAGAGUGAACGCUGGCGGUAGGCCUAACACAUGCAAGUCGAACGGCAGCACAGGAGAGCUUGCUCUCUGGGUGGCGAGUGGCGGACGGGUGAGGAAUACAUCGGAAUCUACUCUGUCGUGGGGGAUAACGUAGGGAAACUUACGCUAAUACCGCAUACGACCUACGGGUGAAAGCAGGGGAUCUUCGGACCUUGCGCGAUUGAAUGAGCCGAUGUCGGAUUAGCUAGUUGGCGGGGUAAAGGCCCACCAAGGCGACGAUCCGUAGCUGGUCUGAGAGGAUGAUCAGCCACACUGGAACUGAGACACGGUCCAGACUCCUACGGGAGGCAGCAGUGGGGAAUAUUGGACAAUGGGCGCAAGCCUGAUCCAGCCAUACCGCGUGGGUGAAGAAGGCCUUCGGGUUGUAAAGCCCUUUUGUUGGGAAAGAAAUCCAGCUGGCUAAUACGUUGGGAUGACGGUACCCAAAGAAUAAGCACCGGCUAACUUCGUGCCAGCAGCCGCGGUAAUACGAAGGGUGCAAGCGUUACUCGGAAUUACUGGGCGUAAAGCGUGCGUAGGUGGUCGUUUAAGUCCGUUGUGAAAGCCCUGGGCUCAACCUGGGAACUGCAGUGGAUACUGGGCGACUAGAGUGUGGUAGAGGGUAGCGGAAUUCCUGGUGUAGCAGUGAAAUGCGUAGAGAUCAGGAGGAACAUCCAUGGCGAAGGCAGCUACC
rnacentral:rRNA from 1 species